GAACGUUGGCCCCAGUGGGGGCGCAGUUCGAUCUCAAACAGGCAACGGGGUUUGAGA
ncrna:unclassified sequences Glutamine-II riboswitch (downstream peptide RNA)